AUUUGAGUAGUUUAAUAAAAUAUCGAUUUGUGGAGUCGAUGAUAUGGUAAAUUCCAUCUUAGAUC
rnacentral:tRNA from 1 species